AUUGAACGCUAGCGGGAUGCUUUACACAUGCAAGUCGAACGAGUGGCGGACGGGUGAGUAAUAUAUCGGAACGUGCACAGUAGCGGGGGAUAAAUACUCGAAAGAGUGGAUAAUACCGACUACUAUUGGAGAGGCCGAUAUCGGAUGAGCUAGUUGGUGGGGUAAAGGCUCACCAAGGCAACGAUCCGUCGCUGGUUUGAGAGGACGACCAGCCCAACUGGGACUGAGACACGGCCCAGACUCCGACGGGAGUCAGCAGUGGGGAAUUUUGGACAAUGGGGGAAACCCUGAUCCAGCCAUCCCGCGUGUAUGAGAAGGCCUUCGGGUUGUAAAGUACUUUUGGCAGAGAAGCGGUAUCUGCAGAAUAAGCACCGGCUAACUACGUGCCAGCAGCCGCGGUAAUAC
rnacentral:rRNA from 1 species